CAUGGAAGGGGACAGAGCCCGGGGCUAUUUGGAAAGCAAUAGCCCAUUCCAAGAUGUGGCAUCGGGCUGGCAUCCACACAGCUCUUAAAUUCCUUUUCUAGGGCCAGAUGGCCUUGGAAUUACACAAUUUUUAAUCUACAGCAUGAACCUGUCUAGGCUUGGGGAAAUCUUCUCGGGAUAGCCACAUUGGAUUUAUUUGCAGAGGAGACUGUCUCUUGCCCCGGGGGCCGCAUUUGACGGCAAUGGAAUCGGCCUCGUUGACGACAAGGCACCAUGAACAUAUCAAGAGCCCUUGAUCAUGAGUUCAACCACGACAGAGAACAGUUGCAGAACCCCGGUGAUCCUGUUGCCGCCAGAAUGUCAACUAAUGACCGGACAGUCGGAAGAGAGCAGCGAAUUUGUUACCGCUGACAGGAAGCAGUGAUGGAUACGAGAGGUGAAAGUCCUCAAAACGGAAACCUCAAAGGUGGAGUGACACGGCAGCAGCCCCGUGGUGUUAGUUCAGACACGCAACUGUACCCUCAGGCACAGACAAAAGACUUCUAAACUCUCUUUUGUGGAGCGCGGAGAUGAAAGGGCAGAGGAAGACAGCGGCUUGUCAGGGAAGAAGCCGGUUUCCAGCAGCCAGUUAGUGUGCAGGUGUAGCAGACCAGAAGAACGACAGGUUAUCGCCGGCUCCCUGCUCGAGAGAUGAGACGCCACGCCAUCAAGUCAUGAUGUCUCAUCCCUCCUUCGACUCUCGCACCCGGCCAUCCUUUGCUUCUGACAUGACGGACGUCUUGUUAUUUACCAAUAUCAGACACCAACGGCGCCUGCUCGGAUUUAAAUAUUUAAUUUAACGUGUUGCGAAUAGGAACAUCAUGAAUAGCUCUUUGCUUGAUUAAACAAUGCCGCUGCAGUUCGAGCUUCCGAUUCUUUUCUUUUCUUUCUUUUUUUAUAUUUGUGCUCAGAUGAAAUCUAUGGCAUAUAAAGAAUGACGACAUACAUAUGCAUUCUAUGAACAACCACCCAAAAUGAAUACAGUGAUCAUAUAAAGACAAGGCAACAGUUUAUACAGACAAUGUAAGGACAUAGUAUGACCAGUACGUGAAAUAUUCUGGACAGGUUAAGUCAGUAACCUGCCUCAACCCAAUGAAAGGAAUAAGUAAUAAGUGUCUGCUGUCUAGUCUGUACACUUAUUUAAUGCAAAUGAUAUGCUGCCAACUUUGUCUUUGAUCUAUUUUUUGAGCUUUGGUCCCUUAAUUUGAGAGUAAAAAAAGAAGCUACUGUGUGCUGUUCAUCUGAUGUGGUUAUAACACCUUAACAUUUGAGGCUGUAAUUUGGCACUUUAUUGUCAUUGUUGUAAUUUAAAGACCAGUG